rnacentral:rRNA from 1 species
AUGAACGCUAGCUACAGGCUUAACACAUGCAAGUCGAGGGGCAGCAUGGUCUUAGCUUGCUAAGGCCGAUGGCGACCGGCGCACGGGUGAGUAACACGUAUCCAACCUGCCGUCUACUCUUGGACAGCCUUCUGAAAGGAAGAUUAAUACAAGAUGGCAUCAUGAGUCCGCAUGUUCACAUGAUUAAAGGUAUUCCGGUAGACGAUGGGGAUGCGUUCCAUUAGAUAGUAGGCGGGGUAACGGCCCACCUAGUCUUCGAUGGAUAGGGGUUCUGAGAGGAAGGUCCCCCACAUUGGAACUGAGACACGGUCCAAACUCCUACGGGAGGCAGCAGUGAGGAAUAUUGGUCAAUGGGCGAGAGCCUGAACCAGCCAAGUAGCGUGAAGGAUGACUGCCCUAUGGGUUGUAAACUUCUUUUAUAAAGGAAUAAAGUCGGGUAUGGAUACCCGUUUGCAUGUACUUUAUGAAUAAGGAUCGGCUAACUCCGUGCCAGCAGCCGCGGUAAUACGGAGGAUCCGAGCGUUAUCCGGAUUUAUUGGGUUUAAAGGGAGCGUAGAUGGAUGUUUAAGUCAGUUGUGAAAGUUUGCGGCUCAACCGUAAAAUUGCAGUUGAUACUGGAUAUCUUGAGUGCAGUUGAGGCAGGCGGAAUUCGUGGUGUAGCGGUGAAAUGCUUAGAUAUCACGAAGAACUCCGAUUGCGAAGGCAGCCUGCUAAGCUGCAACUGACAUUGAGACUCGAAAGUGUGGGUAUCAAACAGGAUUAGAUACCCUGGUAGUCCACACGGUAAACGAUGAAUACUCGCUGUUUGCGAUAUACGGCAAGCGGCCAAGCGAAAGCGUUAAGUAUUCCACCUGGGGAGUACGCCGGCAACGGUGAAACUCAAAGGAAUUGACGGGGGCCCGCACAAGCGGAGGAACAUGUGGUUUAAUUCGAUGAUACGCGAGGAACCUUACCCGGGCUUAAAUUGCAGAUGAAUUACGGUGAAAGCCGUAAGCCGCAAGGCAUCUGUGAAGGUGCUGCAUGGUUGUCGUCAGCUCGUGCCGUGAGGUGUCGGCUUAAGUGCCAUAACGAGCGCAACCCUUGUUGUCAGUUACUAACAGGUUCUGCUGAGGACUCUGACAAGACUGCCAUCGUAAGAUGUGAGGAAGGUGGGGAUGACGUCAAAUCAGCACGGCCCUUACGUCCGGGGCUACACACGUGUUACAAUGGGGGGUACAGAGGGCCGCUACCACGCGAGUGGAUGCCAAUCCCAAAAACCUCUCUCAGUUCGGACUGGAGUCUGCAACCCGACUCCACGAAGCUGGAUUCGCUAGUAAUCGCGCAUCAGCCACGGCGCGGUGAAUACGUUCCCGGGCCUUGUACACACCGCCCGUCAAGCCAUGGGAGCCGGGGGUACCUGAAGUGCGUAACCGCGAGGAGCGCCCUAGGGUAAAACUGGUGACUGGGGCU